GUGUCAUGCCAAAAGCUAUUCGUGUAUCAUUGAAUUGGAUUUUCAUGCACCCCCAACACAAGGAUCUUGGGAGGAUCUGGCUUCUUACUUCACCAGGAGUUCUUCAAGACCAGAGCACCAAAUGGGCAACAGUAGGUCGAGGGGAGACAGAACUGGGAUGGAUCAGCACUUUAAACUUCACUGAGCCUCCUGUAGGCACUCAUUCUCUGGGCAGCUAUGUGGAGGUGGCCAGUGCUCCAGGCAGAGGGAUACAGUGAAUGAGAAGAGCUCUUGAAGUUGAUGUUUUAGAGAAGAGAGAUGACAAAGAAGCCAGACAAACAUCAGAUUGUGAUGAGCAUUAACCAGAUACGGUUGGACCUAAAGCCCAGUUACAAUGGCCAGAAGACCCCCAAACAUGUUUUCUCCAGAGGUCCUGACCCGCGCCUUGCUUGCUGGCUUCUCAGUGACGGAUCAAUUCUUGAUGCCCCUCAAUCGGGAACAUCUCUAACAGAAUGUGUGAGACAUCAGAUUGAUCUCAACUCUAACUUGCAGGCUGGAUACACCAUGCUGUCCUCCUCUCCUGGUUUCUCAUGGUUGCAGGGAGACAAAAUAUGUAAUAGUUUUCUUUCACUGCCUACGUUCAGCACCCACAUGUUCCCACAUCUCUGCUCCGGAUGGAGAACACACAUAAAAACAUUGUUUGCAAAUUUAUUUAACCUUGAAUCUGACUUUCUGGGGGGCAGAAUUUGAUGGGGGAAAGGUAAGGAAUUCAUUGAUCCUUGCAAGACAGAAUGAGACAAAAGAUUCAAGUAAGAAAUACUGCAUGAGGGCUGGAGAUUUAGCUCAGCGGCACAGCGCCAGCCCAGCAAGCACAAGGUCGUGAGUUCAAUCCCCGGUACUGGAAAAAACCAAAAGAACCAAGAAAUACUGCAUAAAAACAAAGGUAAACUUGCAUUCAUCCUUUGAGGAGGAAGUCACGGUACUUAAACACACUGAGGCAGAACCUGUGAAGGAUGCGGAGGGAAGAGCUCACAGAUGCAGAGUACCUGAGAAAUGAGAAAUGAGAUUGCCCCUGGAUGGACAGAAUGUUCUAGAACUUUCUGUAGAUUUCUUGGCUGAUGAAGGUGUGCCACUGAAUAUCCUCCAUUUUUACCUGUCUUCAGAUAAAGAGGACCCUGGAAUGGGGCUACAAUGUGAGAGGAAUGAACAGAAAAAUAUGCUCACGCAAGAUAAAAAAAUGAAUAGAAAUUGCUGACAUCGAAGAAGGGCUUAAACAAAGUCAGGGUGCGUGCCACGCAGAUGUUUGGAGAAAGUGUGUGUUCUUGGAAGAAAGACAUGCCUUCUUCUGAGGUAAGGGUGGACAUAGGUGGAAUAAUAGUGGCCUCACCAUUUUAAGAGGCUAUUUUGAAGACAAUAUGUGGCAGAUAGAACUUGAAGAAUGGAAUUUAGCAGUCAUUGAACAAAUAAAUGUUAAAAAUAUGAGAACUUUCCUUACUUGUUGAUUUUAGAAGAAAUAAAAUAAAUAUAUAUAUAUAUAUAUAUAAUAUAUGGAGCCAGACGACAUGGAAAACAGUUGAAUUCUUGCCAAACCCUUUAGAGUCUGAGGAUACCUGUCAACAGUGUUGAUGCUGGCUGCCAGAGUCCAGUACUGUGGAAAGAGUCUGACUAUCAGAGCCUGUAGCUGCUGCGGAUUCUGCACAAAGCAAAAUUAUGCCAUGUGUCCUUGCUAUGAAUGAGCGCUUCCUCUGUUAGCAGAGUAAAUACCAAUCACUGCUAUAACAAUUCUUCCAAAAGAUAAUUUAAUACAGAAGCCUUCUCAUGCACAGAAUUGACUGAGUGUUGUGGGUGUGGAAAGCAUGCAUGGGAGUGUCUUGGGUGGGCACAUCACAGCUACCUGCCCGCAAUUAGCCAGACAAGUUUUAUGGCCUCACCCAGAGGUAAAAGGACUAGAAACACAGUGAUCAUCAAUACCUAUAAGUUAGUUGAAGGUUGGGUGAACAUUUUUUCUCCAUGCAACUAGUCAUUAGUCAUUACCUCACACUGCCUCCCCCAUGGUAGUGUGUGGCAUCAGAAGGAGGUUGGACAGAGUGGACUGUGGUUUCAGGAGCGUCUAUCCAUUGGAUCUUUUCAUAGCUUGGUGGCUUUGGGAAGUCACUCUCCAUCCUCAGAUGUCAGUUUCCCUUGCAUAAGAAAUGGGAUUAUUUGAGCAUCAAGUUUCCUUCUAGUUUAAAAGUCCAUUUCAUUUUAUUGCUUUUAUGUUGUACCAAGAACGUCUACUGGAGAACCACUUGUGUCUCUUUUAAUGGUGCUCACAGGGGGCAGAGGAUAUUGGGGAAAAUGCUAUGCCAGAAUCAGAUCCUUCUGGAAUGCCUAGCUCCUUUGUAGUUCUUUGAGCCUCUAUUCCCCUUGAAGAAUUUUCCAUCUGUUAGCAGACCCCACUCUCAAAGCAGCUGAUUCCUGUU
ensembl:lincRNA